UACUAUCUAUUAGUUUAGUACCCAGUUAUAUGAAUAACUGCGGUAACUCUGCAGCUAAUGCAUGAAAAUUGCUGGACCUUCGGGCCAGAACUUUUACUAGAAAUCACCGGGUGUUCAGUGUUUAGGGCACAUCACCGAUGAAUCAAAGUAACUGAAAGAUCCCAGAUGGCGAAUUGCCGGGGGACGAAACUUCCGAAUUUCUGACCUAUCAACCUAUGACGGUAGUGUAACGGACUACCGUGGUUGUGACGGGUAACGGGGAAUCAGGGUUCGAUUCCGGAGAGGGAGCCUUAGAAACGGCUACCACAUCCAAGGAAGGCAGCAGGCACGCAAAUUACCCAAUCCCAGUUCGGGGAGGUAGUGACGAGAAAUAACAAUAUGAACCUUAAUGGUUUGUAAUUGGAAUGGAAGUGAAGUAAAAGCUCACUUGAUGAUCUAGUGGAGGGCAAGUCUGGUGCCAGCAGCCGCGGUAAUACCAGCCUCCACAAGCGUAUGCAAAAGUUGCUGCGUUUAAAAAGCUCAUAGUUGGAUCUGUUUACAGUGUUACGGCAAAUCUAGUGGUUGCUUCGGCAUACCUACUAGCGUAAUACUUAACCUUCGCAUCGAAAAAAUAGUUUGCCCUUUAUUGGGUUGAACUGUGGAAACGGUGUUUUCACUUUGAGUAAAUUAGAGUGUUCAAAGCGUCCUUUGGGAUUGAAUAAUAAAGCAUGGAAUAAUGGAGAAUGACCCGCGUUGUCGAAUAGCCGGUGGCUGACAUGCGGUAAUGAUUGAAAGGAACAGACGGGGGCAUUUGUAUUGCUACGUUAGAGGUGAAAUUCUUGGAUCGUGGCAAGACAAACUACUGCGAAAGCAUUUGCCAAGAAUGUUUUCAUUAAUCAAGAACGAAAGUUAGAGUAUUGAAGAGGAUUAGAUACCCUCGUAAUUCUAACCAUAAACUAUACCAACUUACGAUUUGUCAAAGUCCAAUAUGACUUGGCAAGAAAUUAACCGGGAAACCAAAGUUUAUUGGUUCCGGGGGAAGUAUGGUUGCAAAAUCGAAACUUAAGGAAUUGACGGAAGGGCACCACCAGGAGUGGAGCCUGCGGCUUAAUUUGACUCAACACGGGAAAACUCACCAGGUCCAGACAUUUUAAGGAUUGACAGAUUGAAUAUCUUUCAUGAUUAUAUGGGCGGUGGUGCAUGGCCGUUCUUAGUUAGUGGAGUGAUCUGUCUGGUUAAUUCCGAUAACGAACGAGAUCUCAUCCAUCUAAAUAAUAUAUGUCACUAAAUGUGGCAAUAUACUUCUUAGAGGAACCAUGCGGAAUAUAAUACCGCAAGUGAAGUGAGGCUAUAACAGGUCUGUGAUGCCCUUAGAUGUCCUGGACUGCACGCGCGCUACACUGUACAAGUGAUGACGAGACUCUAUCCUAGGCCGAUAAGGCCCGGGUAAUCGCUCAAACUUGUUGUGAUCUUAACGGGGAUCGACUAUUGUAACUCGUAGUCGUGAACCAGGAAUUCCUCGUAAUCUCAGGUCAACAGCCUGAAAUGAUUACGUCCCUGCCCUUUGUACACACCGCCCGUCGCUACUACUGAUUGGACGAUUAAGCAAGAACUUCGGAACCUCGCUGUCAAGACUUCGGUCGAGACAAUGAGAGGAAGAGGAUCAAGCUUAUUUGUCUAGAU
rnacentral:rRNA from 1 species